rnacentral:rRNA from 1 species
AUUGAACGCUGGCGGCAGGCCUAACACAUGCAAGUCGAGCGGAGCGCCGGACGCGUGCGUAUUGCCUAGGUCUGUGCAUGGUAGUGGGGGAUAACGUUCGGAAACGGGAACUAUUACUGAAACCUCUCCGCUUAGCCUGUGUCGGAUUAGCUAUUUGGUGGGGUAAAGGCCAACCAAGGCGACGAUCCGUAACUGGUCUGAGAGGAUGAUCAGCCACACUGGAACUGAGACACGGUCCAGACUCCUACGGGAGGCAGCAGUGGGGAAUAUUGGACAAUGGGCGAAAGCCUGAUCCAGCCAUGCCGCGUGUGUGAAGAAGGUCUUCGGGUUGUAAAGCACUUUAAGUUGGGAGGCGUUACCAACAGAAGAAGCACCGGCUAACUCCGUGCCAGCAGCCGCGGUAAUUC